AUGUCUGCAACUAUAUGUUUCAAUCACUCCUUGGUUCUUAACUGUGUGAUCUGCCUUUUCUCAAAGGUUCUGACUUGUCUGUAUUGAUAAGGAAGUCAGUGGGAACUGAGAAUACCCAGAACUUUGGAAAUUACGGUGUUCAUACAGCACAGGGAGACCUCUAAGCAGCUCUCUGGGCUGUCCAUGCAGAAUUGCAGAGGGUGGUUCUCUAAGGAAGUUAACAGAGCUUUAUAUGGAAGGAUAAAUUUCUUCAGAAUAUGUUAUGGAAGACCAGUUCCUCUAGUAACAUGUUGCUGUAGCCAAGGCAGCCAAGACCAGUUCCUCAGUGCAACCAUGCUACAAAGAAUUGCAGACAGAGAGAAUUGA
rnacentral:lncRNA from 1 species